UUUUCAACAUGGCCUCCUUGAUGUAUGGAGACAACUUCGUUGUUCAGGCCUGGCGCAUCGUUAAGUUCGGCUGAUUCUCCACUGGCGCUGCAUUUAGCGGACUGACGUUUAGUUGACAAAUACCAUUUUUGAGGUUAAAGACUAAUAAAUUUGAAAGAUGUAAGUGUGCAUUCGUGAAAUACGUUGAAAAUCUUCAGAAGAUAUACAAAUUAUUUUAAGGUGAAUUGAUUGUUCAUCGUUUAUAAGUAUUUUAAGCAUAACCUACGGCACUAGUACGCAGACACAGAUGCAGAGAAAACGAUGUUUCAAAGAACCUUCCAUUUAUUAUGCAUACUCUAUGGUUUUACCAAUGGUUAAGGUUGAAUGCGUUACAAAUCUGUGAUUUUAAGACAUGGCUUAAGUUUUCUGAAAGGUAUUUGCAACCUUUUAACCAGUAGAUAUUUGCAAUACAUUGUUUAGGCAAAUGAAACUAUUUUGCACACACGUAUUUUCAAAACCUGCUAUUGUUAAUUUAGUUUUAGUAAAAUGUACAAAGAAAGUCGUUUUUUUCAAAUGAAAUGGCUUAAAAAAGCUCGAUCCAGCGUUCUUCUGCUAGAGUGUCUCUGAAUCGUCCGUUCCAAAGUCCCUGUCUGGACCUCUGCUCACUCUCAAGCACCGCUCGUGGAUCACCAAACUCCCGAAAAAAAUCUACUACUUUAUAAAUUUUUUUGAGUUUUUGUAUUUAGAAAUUAUCAAUUACAUUGUGGGCUCUUUUUCA